GGAAAAGGAAGUGACUGGCUCAGGAAACCAGGAUGUGAACAAGGCCAGAUACCCUGAUAACUCAAUAGCAAAAGCCCUUUGUUCUGUCUUUAGUACUCUUUAUCCAACCCAGAGUAAAAAAAAUCUCAGAAAAUCAGGCCUCAUAGGGGAGGAACUGAGGCUGUUUUCCAGAUGUCAGAGAAGAAAGUGCUGCAGAAGUCGUGGAGGAGUAUCACCUGCUUCUCUGUUGUCCCACACAAAGGGUUCUACUUCCACAGGCUGCAGAAGCACAGGCCUGCAUGAUAGAAACCAAGCUCAAAAGGGUUCAUCCAGGAGCAGUAAAAGGAAAAUGGAAUUUGCCGUGUUCUGUGGAUUCUAGUCCUGAUAGUCACCAACAAUUCUGUGACUUUGGGUCUGAACUGGAAUCCUGCCAGGAAUGAGCCAACUGCCCCAGCUAUCAUCACCACCACCCACAUUACCUGCUCCUACCUAACAUGCCCCGCCCCAUAUAUACAUAUACAGACAUGUGCACAGGAUUUUCCUUGAAUAAUGAGGCCCCAUUUAUUGUUCUGGCCAUAAUGCUUGUCCUGAAGAAGCAUCUAAAAUCCUGC